UAACGGCCCACCAAGGCUACGAUCAGUAGCUGGUCUGAGAGGAUGAUCAGCCUCACUGGGACUGAGACACGGCCCAGACUCCUACGGGAGGCAGCAGUGGGGAAUAUUGGACAAUGGGCGCAAGCCUGAUCCAGCCAUGCCGCGUGGGUGAUGAAGGCCCUGGGGUUGUAAAGCCCUUUCGGCGGGGAAGAUAAUGACGGUACCCGCAGAAGAAGCCCCGGCUAACUUCGUGCCAGCAGCCGCGGUAAUACGAAGGGGGCUAGCGUUGCUCGGAAUCACUGGGCGUAAAGCGCACGUAGGCGGCUUCUUAAGUCAGGGGUGAAAUCCUGGAGCUCAACUCCAGAACUGCCUCUGAUACUGAGGAGCUAGAGUCCGGGAGGUGAGUGGAACUGCGAGUGUAGAGGUGAAAUU
rnacentral:rRNA from 1 species